CUCUUCAGCAACGAAAUCAGCAACGCACACUCGCGUCUGACACCUGCUGCAUCUCUCUUAUUAUUAUUCUUCCUUUGCUGUAUCGCCACUUGCCACUCUCAAGCACACACACACAGAUCAUGUCAGGCAACAAGGACAUCUACACCUUCCAGUAUGGCGAGCUGAAGAAGGGCCAGACGUAUGCGCUGGCUAUGGCAAGGGUGGCGGACAACUUCGUGCACUCCAGCUUCCACGACUCUCCCAACUACGAGAAGCUGCUCCUCUCCAUCUUCGAGCACAUCUCCAAGGACCCGUCGAUGGACGACAAGAUGCUGCAGGCCCUUGAGAAUGCUCUGAUGGCGCGGCAGAACGCCGUCCUCAAGGAGGCGCGCGACAACGACAAGGAUCGCAAGAAGUUUGUCUUCGAGAAGCGCACCACGGGGCGCGACCCCAACGAGGACAGCGGUAGCGACGCUGAGGAGGUGACAGAGGAGGAGUUGGCGGCCCGCAAGGCGGCGCAGGAGGCGGAGGAGAAGCGCAAGGAGCAGGAGUGGAUCAAGGCACAGGAGCGCUACGCGGCGCUCCAGCUGCAGAAGCGGGAGAACGAGGAGCGGCUGCGCGCGCAGGCCCGGAAGGUCGACAUCGACGCAUUCCAGCGCCAGCUCCAGAGCCGCGGUGCCGUGCUUGUCGACUCCGGCUUGCCUACCAAGAAGAAGGGUGGCAAGGGCGCUGCAAAGGCCGGCCAGCUGUCAGCCGAGGAUGCAGAGAGGAUGAAGGAGGAGGUGGCGCUGAUUGUGAAGGAAAAGGAGCGCCUCGAUACGGCACUGCACACCAGCGACGAGGAGCUGCCGGCCGCCCUCGAGGAGGCGAGGAGGUCGCUGGCUGAGUACAAGCAGAGGGCGGCGGCGAUUGGUGAGCCGGCAGCGCCGACGAAGGAGAUGAGCAAGAGUGAGGUGACGCAGCUGCAGCAGAAGCUGGCAAAGCAGACCAUGGACAAGAACCGCCGGGCGCUGCAGCUCAAGGCCAUGGAGCCCAACCCGCUGCGCGAUGAGCUCGUCUCAGUGCUCGAGCAGCGUGACGUGCUGGCUGUAACGGUGGAGCGUGCGGAGAACGCGUAAAAGAAAAAAGAGACACUCAACACAGAAGUAGCUCACACAAGCCGCAGAGGGCCGCGAGAGGCGAUGCGACUCGCGUCCCUCACGCACACAGCGCGCAGCUCGCCACCGGCGCCUUUAUUCGAGAGAUCAACGACGAUGCGCGAAUACGCGUGGGACAAAGGUGUGGGUGGCGGGGGAGACACAGCGGCCGUUCUCCACGGUGCCUCGCACACAUCCUCUCUCACUCACGAGCUCGAGGAGUUAGCUUCCACUCACAGAGGAGGAGAAAAUAAGUUGGCGCGUGCUGAGAGAUUGAGUGGAUAUAUGGCGAGUGGGCGUGCCUAUGCUGCCUGUGCGCCACCACCUCUCCCUCCUCCACUGCCGCUUGGCACGCACGUACCGCCUUUCCCGGUAUAUUGAAUAACAACAUUAUUGUAAUGAGACAAGCAUAGCUCACUGUCUGCCAAAGGAGCGCACCCCCCCUCUCCACCACACACACACACACAGAGGAGAGGGGCUUAUGUAUGACCUCAGUGCACGCCGUUCUUUAUUACUCUGCGCGUCAGUGUAGACUGCCUCGAUGCGGGGUGACCAGUCCUUAAG
rnacentral:misc_RNA from 1 species